UGGGAGUAGUAAUUUCAUUUU
rnacentral:piRNA from 1 species